AUGAAGGGAGAGGGAAGGGUUGCUUUCUAUAUGCUUUCUAUACCUUGUACCUUGUACCUAAGAAGGAUCUUCUAUAUUCUCUGUACUUUGGAUCUAAGUAAAUUUCUGAGCUAAUUUGACUUCUGCAAAGAGGCCCCUCGCUUUCUUAUUUUAGGAAUGCAAGAUAAGAAAGACACAUAUGAAGGAGACUGUAAGCUAGAAAUAACCAGAGGCCCCUCGCUUUCUUACUUUAGGAAUGUAAGAUAAGAAAGACACAUACGAGGGAGACGGGAGGAGGGAGGGAGCUUUCUCAAGGUAUAAGAAAGUCUGCAGAGGCGUAUUUCUGGGCAGCCAGUCUUCCAGAAGUUAUUCUGCUGGCUGUCACUGUGCACAGAGAAUAAACUGUUUUCCUCCAAAGAAGGAUCUUUCCUGGUGCUUUCUUUGCUCUCUCUCUGGAUCUGAGGACGCGGGCCAACGAUUCCCUGGCAUGGACUAGGCUCAGCCUACAUCUUGGUUCCCUGACCGGGAAUCUGCCCCACCUCAGAGGGCUGGGGAGAGCCAGGCUCGACCUUGGUGGACAGCUCGGAUCGGCAAUUGCAGGCUCCACGCGCACCCUGCCAAUUUGUGGGGAGCCAGCCACACCGCUCCGGAGCAAGGACCCAGGUCGAGGGAGGAAAGAGGACUGGCCAGGGAAGGGAAUCUGCAGCAGAAAACGGUAAGCCCAAGGGAAAGGGCGUGGGCGUGAGCCCAAGGGAAAAGAGGGAGGCCUGAUCAGCCUCACCUGGUUAUGCAGUAGAGUGCAGCCAGGAAGGAAAAAAAAAGGGGCGUGGCAGUGGUGUGCCACCGGUAAGGUUUGGU